ACGCUCGACACCUACGGGAGGCAGCAGUGGGGAAUAUUGCACAAUGGGGGAAACCCUGAUGCAGCGACGCCGCGUGAGCGAAGAAGUAUUUCGGUAUGUAAAGCUCUAUCAGCAGGGAAGAAAGUGACGGUACCUGACUAAGAAGCACCGGCUAAAUACGUGCCAGCAGCAGCGGUAAUCUGAGCGGGCUGGCAAGGC
rnacentral:rRNA from 1 species